rnacentral:lncRNA from 1 species
AUGGGCAUAUACAUACAAGAAUAAUUAUCUUUUUUUAAAUGAAAAUGUCACACUUUUAUCUGACAAAGAAAGGACAUUUAAAUAACGUAUUUUAAAGCACACAGGUGCAAUCAAGAUCGAUUAAAUGUACAAAGGUAAUAAAUCUGGCUAAUCCGAUUAUGUUGUCACGCGUCAUUAAUUUUCAGUACAUCCGAUGGGCAAUAAACCAAUUAACAGCCACGCGGUGUUGGGAGAGAAUCUUUGGAGGAAAUUGGGAGUAUAAUCCGUGAUUCGCGGUGUCACACGCUACACUCGGAAAUCGGUGAUUAGAGUUCGCGAUUACAAACUC